GUGGAUUAGAUACCCUGGUAGUCCGCGCCGUAAACGAUGGGCACUAGCUGUGAGAACCUUCCACGGUUUUCGCGACGCAGCAAACGCAUUAAGUGCCCCGCCUGGGGAGUACGAUCGCAAGAUUAAAACUCAAAGGAAUUGACGGGGCCCCGCACAAGCAGCGGAGCAUGCGGCUUAAUUCGACGCAACGCGAAGAACCUUACCAAGGCUUGACAUAUAGCGAAAAGUGGCAGAGAUGUCAUGUCCGCAAGGGCGCUAUACAGGUGGUGCAUGGCCGUCGACAGCU
rnacentral:rRNA from 1 species